UUUAGAUUGAAGGAGCUUGCUCUCGAUUGAUAAACAUUUGAGUGAGUGGCGGACGGGUGAGUAACACGUGGGUAACCUGCCCUAAAGUGGGGAUAACAUUUGGAAACAGAUGCUAAUACCGCAUAAAACCUAACACCGCAUGGUGUAGGGUUGAAAGAUGGUUUCGGAUAUCACUUUUAGGAUGGACCCGCGGUGCAUUAGUUAGUUGGUGAGGUAAAGGCUCACCAAGACCGUGAUGCAUAGCCGACCUGAGAGGGUAAUCGGCCACACUGGGACUGAGACACGGCCCAGACUCCUACGGGAGGCAGCAGUAGGGAAUCUUCCACAAUGGACGAAAGUCUGAUGGAGCAACGCCGCGUGAGUGAAGAAGGUUUUCGGAUCGUAAAACUCUGUUGUUGGAGAAGAAUGUAUCUGAUAGUAACUGAUCAGGUAGUGACGGUAUCCAACCAGAAAGCCACGGCUAACUACGUG
rnacentral:rRNA from 1 species